UUGCUUAGGCAGCACAUACACUAAAAUUGGUGUGAUACAGGGAAGAUUAGCGUGGCCCCUGCAGAAGGAUGACUAGCAAAUUCACAAAGUGUUCCGUAUUUUU